rnacentral:lncRNA from 1 species
CAGGUAGAGCAGGUGGAGGAUGAUGGCCAGCGCCUUGGUGAACUGGGCCGAGUCUCCGGGCUCCCUGGGCAGCUGCAGGGCCCGUUCCACUUCCCGGACCCCUUUGGUGAGGACCCCCAUGAGGUCUGCAAAGCCGAUCUGGGUGCCCAGACUGCCCUUGGCGGCCCGGUCCUGCAGCACGUAGGAGAAGAGUUCCGCGAAGGAGAGGAAGCUGCUGGCGGUCAUGGGGCUCAGAGGCUCCAGGUUGGUCUGUUGCAUGUCCAGGGCGUACUUCCACAAGCGGAUGCAGCGCUCGAAAUUGCCCGAGUCGGCGUACACGGCGCCCCUGUAACGGAUAUAAUAGGAAGUGUCGGGGUGCGAGGGACCGAGGAUGCGCUCCCGGAUCAACAGGGCCUGCAUGCGCAUCUCAUCCGGGUCGGUGAUCAGCGCCUCCAGCUCCUCGGUGGUGUUGACCUCCCUGGAAUAGUCAUAGGCCAGGACCAGCUGUGGGGGCUCCGGUUUGGGCAGGUACUCGCCCCCCUGGUGACGCAGCUCCAUGGCCCGCCUCCAGUGUUUGAGGGCCCCAAGCAGAUCUCGUUUCUUAUCCACAUACGUAGCUCCCAGCAAUUCCAAGGCUUCCACGGCAGCUUCCCGGCUGGUGGGACAGCAGCUUUCAUAAGAUUCCCCGUUCAGUGGUUCCUCCGGGGAGGAGCUACAGCAUGGGGCCCCCUGAGGCUGCGCACACCCCUGGCUGGUAGAGGGGCCUUCUUGGGGCAGCCCAGGCUGAGCCUCUCCCCCUGCGAUCUGCUCCUGGCCGGGCUGCUCCUGGAUGAGGUACUCCACAAUGUUGGUGUGGCCCGUCACACUGGCCGCAAGCAGCGGGGUCAUGCCGUAGCCGUCACGUUCCAUGCGGGCCUUGCACCCCAGCAGCAGCUGCAGGAUCUCCAGGCUGCCGGACUCGGCGCAGUCGUGCAGGGCCGUGUUGCCCUUGGCGCUGCGCCGGUUCACCUGGGCGCCCUGCUCCAGCAGGUAGCGGGCGAUCUCACGAUGGCCCUUGUAGCACGAGAUCAUGAGGCACGUGUGGCCGUGCCGGUUGGCCACCUCAAGGUCGGCCUGGUGCUCGCCGACCAGGUAGCGCACCACCUCCAGGUGGCCGUCGAAGCAGGCGGCGCGCAGGGGCGUGGAGUUGGUGCGCGUGGUGCGGUUCACCGAGGCCCCGCGGCGCAGCAGGCUCCGCACCACGUCCAGGUGGCCGGCGGCGGAGGCGGCCCACAGCGGCGGCGCGCCCUCGAUGGUCUCGCCAUCGAAGUGCACCGAGCCACCGGCCUCCACGCUCGCGCCGCACCGGUCCACCAGGUACUCCACCACAUCCAGGUGGCCGUAGCGCGCGGCGAUGAGCAGCGGCGUCCCCCCGCCGGAGGACGGGGAGACAGAGGAUCAGAGCCCGGACGGGCGGGAGGCAACCUUCACCGUCUCCCUCGCCGCCAUCUUAGGGGUUCCUCGGGCGGAACAAAAUGGCUGCCGCGACCCGACGAAUGGGAGCACGCCGGGAAAUGGAGUCCUCUGCGCGGGCCCACUCCAUAGAACAAAAAAGGAAUCAUGGGGGAUUAAGACUACACUUCCUAAAAGGCCACAGGACAGCCCCUGCGAGCUGUGAGCGCGCGGCAUGAUGGAAAUUGGUGUUCCAGUUGCAGUGCAUGACCGGGGAAGUUAGCAAUUUGAGAACUACAAUUCCCGUCAUGCAGCGCUACACGACCUAGCUUGUGGGAACCGGCGAAAUUUGGUGACGUACUUCCCGUGGCUGUCUCUACGUCAGAGCCUAUGGAAAAAGCCUGCACGAUGCCCUUAAGGACUACAUUUCCCAAAAGGCAUGGCGAGCGACUCUGAGCCAGUCAGGACCUAGACCGAAGGCCAAGCUCGGCCAGAGGGGGCGAGUCAUGAUUCGGGGUUGGAGCAUAGGCGAGCAGCCCACCGGCAGGGGGCGCCAAGAGGAGGCCGAAAAGCCAGGCAGGGCGAAAGCGUUUUGAGCUGGGAGAACAGGGAGAGAUAAGGGUAAAAAAUUACGCGCUCAGUUCUUAUUCCCCCAUUCAUUUAUUCAUUCAUUCAUUUACAUGCAUUUAUUUAUAUCCUAGCAUAUGUCAGAAUUUCCUUCUUCUAUUUUAUUUACGUAAUUAUUUCUUUCAAUAACUUCGUGGGAUUUUUUUGUGUGUUUUUGUUUUUGAGACAGUCUCUGUCUGUCGCCCAGGCUGUAGUGCAGUGGUGCAAUCUCGGCUCACUGCAACAUCCACCUCCCGGGUUCAAGCGAUUCUUGUGCCUCAGCCUCCCGAGUAGCUGGGAUUACAGGCGCCCGCCACCACACCCAGCUAAUUUUUGUAUUUUUAGUAGAGACGGGGUUUCACCAUGUUGGCCAGGAUGAUCUCGAACUCCUGGCCUUAGGCGAUCCCCCCGCCUUAUCCUCCCAAAGUGCUAGGAUUACAGGCGUGAGCCCCUGUGCCCGGCCUGACAUGCUGAUUUCAAUUCCUUUGGAUAAAUACCCAGAACUGGGAUUGCUGGAUCAUCUGGUAGUUCUAUUUUUAAAUUUUUCUUUGGAACUUCCAUACCAUUUUCCAUAAUGGCUAUACUAAUUAAAAUUACCAUCAAUAGUGCGUAAGUGUUCUCUUCAAAUCCUUGCCAACAUUUGGUACCUUUCAUCUUUUUGAUAAUAGCUAUUCUAGCAGUUGUAAGGUGAUCCAUUUCCUGGCAUUUUUUUGACAGCAGUGAAUUAUGAGACAGAAAUCUUUGGUGGCCCGAAUUAUUUAUUUUUAAAAUGUAUUCAAGAUGCAAUAUAUAUACACUAAAAUGCAUUUUUUUUUGAACGGAGCCGUCUGCGCCAGCGGAGGCAGCCGGUCUCGCCCGCCCCCCCCCCCCCCCCCCCCCGGCGGCCGCCCCCCCUCGCCGGCUAGUUUUUGUAUUUUAGUAGACGGUUCCGUGUAGCAGAUGUCUCAUUCUGACUUGUGAUCGCCGUCUGGCUCCAAGUGCGGAUACAGGCUGAGCCCGCGCGGCUGCAAUGCAUUUAAUAAAGAGGACAGGGCCGGGCGCGGUGGCUCAAGCCUGUAAUCCCAGCACUUUGGGAGGCCGAGACGGGCGGAUCACAAGGUCAGGAGAUCGAGACCAUCCUGGCUAACACGGCGAAACCCCGUCUCUACUAAAAACACAAAAAAUUAGCCGGGGGAGGUGGCGGCGCCUGUGGUCCCAGCUACUUGGGAGGCUGAGGCAGGAGAAUGGCGGGAACCCGGGAGGCGGAGCUUGCAGUGAGCUGAGAUCUGGCCACUGCACUCCAGCCUGGGCGACAGAGCGAGACUCCAUCUCAAAAAAAAAAAAAAAAAAAAAAAAAAAAGAGGACAGGUUUGGCUAGGCAGGGUCACUCACACCUGUAAUCUCACCACUUUGGGAGGCUGAGGUGGGAGGAUUGCUUGAACCCAGAAAUUCGAGACCCGCCUGGGAAACAUAGCCCAUCUCUACAAAAAUACAAAAAUUAGCUGGGCGUGGUAGCGUGCACCUGUUGUCUCAGCUAUUAAGGAGGCUGAAGUGGGAGGAUUGCUUGAACCUCUGAAGUCAAGGCUGCAGUGAGCCAUGAUUGCACCAUUGCACUUCAGCCUGGGUGACAGAGGGAGACCCUGUCUCCAAGAUAAAUAAAUGAAAAUAAAUAAAUAGAACAGGUGUGACAAACAUGCAGUUAUGUAGCCAGUAUCACAACUGAGAUGUUCAACAGCAUCUUCAUUCAGAAUGUUAUCUCAUGCUGGCUGGGAGCAGUGGCUCAUGCCUGUAAUCCCAGCACUUUGGGAGGCCCAGGCGGGUGGAUCACGAGGUCAGGAGAUCAAGACCAUCCUGGCUAACACGGUGAAACCCCGUCUCUACUAAAAAUACAAAAAAUUAGCCGGGCGUGGUGGCAGGCACCUGUAGUCCCAGCUACUCAGGAGGCUGAGGCAGGAGAAUGGCCUGAACCCGGGAGGCGGAGCUUGUAGUAGUGAGCCGAGAUUGCGUCACUGCACUCCAGCCUGGGGGACAGAGCGAGACUCCAUCUUGAAAAAAAAAAAAAAAGAAAAAAAGAAUGUUGUAUCAUGCCCUUUUGGUCAACGCCUUUGUCCACCCGCAGCCACUAGUAAAUGCUGAUCUGUUCUCUGCAUUUCAUAAUAACAGCAUAGAAAUGGAAAAAUGCAAUAUGCGGCCUCUGGGGUCUGCUGCUUUCAUUCAGCACAAUGCAUUCAAGAUGCAACUAUGCUGUUGCGCGUAUUAGUAGCUCGUUGCCUUUUAUUAUGGAGCUGUAUUCCAUGGCAAGAAUGAGCCACCAUUCUUUUAUCCAUUACGUAAUGGUUCUUUCCAGUUUUAGAUGACAAAUAAACCUGCUAUAAACUUCUGCGUACAGGUCUUUGUGUGGAAAUAUGUUUUCAUUUCUCUUGGGUAAUGCCUACGAGUGUAAGUAUUCUUUUUUUUUCUUUUCUUUUUUUCUUUUGAGAUAGAGUUUCGGCCGGGUGCGGUGGCUCAAGCCUGUAAUCCCAGCACUUUGGGAGGCCGAGACGGGCGGAUCACGAGGUCAGGAGAUCGAGACCAUCCUGGCUAACACAAUGAAACCCCGUCUCCACUAAAAAUACAAAAAAAUUAGCCGGGCGUGGUGGCGGCGCCUGUAGUCCCAGCUACUCGGGAGGCUGAGGCAGGAGAAUGGCGGGAACCCGGGAGGCGGAGCUUGCAGUGAGCCGAGAUCGCGCCACUGCACUCCAGCCUGGGCGACAGAGCGAGACUCCACCUCAAAAAAAAAAAAAAAAAAAAAAAAAGAGAUAGAGUUUCACUCUUUUUUUUUUUUUUUUUUUUUUUUUUUUUGAGGCGGAGUUUCGCUCUGUCUCCAGCUGGUGCAGUGCCGGAUCUCACUCACUGCAAGCUCCGCUCCCGGUUUACGCAUUCUCCUGCUCAGCCUCCAUAGCUGGAC